UAUUCAUCUUUAAUUUGCAUCAGAAAUAUAAUUAAGGGGUAAUUUGCGAUUCCUUUCCUGAUAAAGAUUAUAAUUUGAGUUACUUCCCCUCCAUAAAUGAAAUUGACAAAACCUCCUUUGGUCAGUAUUCCGUUAAAUGAUUUGUUAACUGCCACGUAUGAUGUACCCGUGGCAGAUUUAUUAUGAGUUUAAAAAUGACAACAUUACCGUCUCAAUCUUCGUCUUUUCUUUCUUUCUGAACAGAAAAUAUUUCAUUAAUGGGGGUUGUCGAACUUCAAAAGCAAAUAUCAGACGCGCGUGGAACUAUCCCCUAAUAAGUCGUCUUCUUCCUUCCUUUGUCGCUUGCUUCCGGUGAUCUUUCCCCCUAUUCAACAACCAUUGUUGAACCUUAUUAACACAUUUAAUCCGCACUCAUAUAUUCACCAUUAACGUAGGUUAUUAAACCAACACCACCUCAAAUCACAAUUAAAACCCAUAGUUACAGAUUCGACAAAUUUCCACCAAAGAUCUAUUUAUUUCUUUCACUAUUCGCCCUAAAUCGAUUUAAUUAAUCAACCUAUGAGAAACAAUUUCUGAUUUCCACCUUGGUUUGAUCGAUUCUUUCGCAUGUGGUAAUCGUUGUCGAGAUGGAUUCAUCCUGGUAAUAGGGAAUCGGAGCAAUCUCAAGCAACAUAUGCCACACAAGAGGGUGUCGUGUCCAAUGGAGUACCACCACAAGCGCCUGUAUACCAACCAUGGGGAUUAUAUCCAAUUCCCCAUUCAAAUUAUGCAGGACUGCCGAUGGACCCGAAUGCAGUGACUCAAGGGUCGUCGUUUUCUUAUCUGUACGCCGUGCUUAAUCCAUGGAUGUUUGGAGGACAGUUUGGAUAGUGCAUAAUAUUGAACCUUGUGCUGAUUUUUGUUU